UAAGACUAUUAUAAAAGAAUUGUUGAAAUGCCUGAAAAACUAGUGUUAUAUUAUUGGAAAAUUCAAGGGUUGGUCGCGCCUUUGAAGAUGGCUUGCACUUAUGCAAGGAUGGAUUAUGAAUUUUAUGCCUUUGAAGCCACUCACUCUGCUUUGUGGUUUGAUAACAUAAAGCCAAAAAUUGCGGAGAAAAAUCCUUUAGCAAACUUACCUUUUAUCAAAGAUGGCGACUUUUACGUUACGCAAUCUAAUGCAUGUUUAACUUA